rnacentral:rRNA from 1 species
GUUGACCUCGGAUCAGGUAGGAAUACCCGGAUAUCAAUAAUGCGGAGGA